AACAAUAAAGAGAAAGAGAGAGAAAGAAAGACUUUUUUUAAUCCUUACUUUACGUGUAAUGUAACAUAGUCAUUUUUUUUUUUUCAAUUGGGAGAGAUGGCUGAGUGGACUAAAGCGGCGGAUUGCUAAUCCGUUGUACGAGUUAUUUGUACCGAGGGUUCGAAUCCCUCUCUUUCCGUUUCCUUGGAUGACUUGAUAUUUGAUUUAUCUUCUAAAUUAUAUACCCAAAAAAUCGAACAAUGAACUUUGUUGAUCCAAAAGUCCUAAAAGCCUAUAACAUACCCAAAAUACCCUUUGAUUACACAAAUUGAGUUAAUUCAUGGAAUAGAUCAUAUUUGUAACUUCUCAAUUUGUGCUCUUUCAUAAAAAUGCUUACAAAGUAAUUUAAUUUGUUUAGUAUAAAAUUAUAAUUUGUUGAUUGUUGCGGGCAAUUGGGUCUUUUAUUGAUUUGUUGAUUAUAAUGAUAAUUUUUCACUUUUAGUAUGUAGUGAAUUUUGUUAAUAAUGAAAACUUCUCAAUUUUUUCUCAAAUAUAUAUCAUAUUGAGGAUUUUCCAAUUUCUUGCAAUAUGUUGAGAAUUUUCAAGUAAAUUUUGAUAACUUUUCAAUUUCAAUUCUCUUUUGAAUUUGGGAUUAAGUUGUUAAAUUGAUAUGUUCUCAAUUUUCGUACUUGCUAAAUCCUCACAAAUUAUAUGUUCUUCACUUUCAAAUUUUAAUAUUUAAUUGAUAGUUAUUCAUUUCUUUUUUUUAGUAAUAUCAUACUGAAAACUUUUUCACCGGUUGUUGAAAUUAACAUUGAUAUUUUCUCAAUAUAUAUUUCAAAUUGAGUCUCGUAUUUUCUCAUUUUUUUGAAUAAUUCGUAAUAUGAUAACUGAUAACUUCUCAAUUUGUUCUUGAGGUCAUCUUCACUACUGGUGAAAAGAUUUUGUUAAAGUUGAUCCUCUUCUUUUGCUUGAAUCCUUUGACAACCAAUCAGGCUUUAUACUUACCUAGCUCCCCACUGCCAUCUCACUUCAUCUUGAACACACACUUGUUCCUCAACACUCUUUUUCCAUUCGGAAGCUUCACCAACUCACAUGUCUUAUUCUUCUACAAAGAGCUUUCUCCUCGUGUAUUGCUUGUAGCCAAUUCUUCUCCGUAUGAGCUUGAGUUUCCUUGAAGUUCUAUGUCUCCCCAUCAUUAGUGAGUAAAAGAUAAUUUGAACUGGGAUAUUUACUCGAUUGAGUCAGAGUUAGCCCACUUCGUGACAUCCUUGGUCCCUCAUCAUCGGCCGGAGGAAGAACUUCAUCAUCCAAUUGAUGUGAUUAUCCUGCAGCUUCUAGUAGAGGUGGUUGUGGCUCCCUUUGCUCAACACACUCUACAACCUCUUCAUCCUGCAACUCAUCAUCAUCUGUGGUAACUUGUGAUGGUGCAGGUUCUGAGACAAUAUAUGGAGCACUAGAACUCGAAUCACUGGACUUUGGGAUUUUCAAAGUCCUCAAACAUCUGGUUUCCUGGAACACGAUGUCCCUACUUUUGACGACCUUCUUCGUCUUCGGAUCCCAUAACUUGUAUCCAAAUUCUUCACAUCCAUAGCAAUGAAGAUGCAUGGGGUGGACUUGACAUCAAGUUUUUAUCGCUGCUCCUUGUGGAUACGUGUGAAAACACCUUGCAAACAAACAUUCUCAAGUGAGAGUAGGAGGCAUUCCUGCCAGACCACACCUUCUCCAGAACCAUGAACUUCAAUGGAACAGACGGUGAUCUAUUGAUUAGGUAACAGGCAGUACGAACUUUACUCCAUAAUGGCUUUGGCGAUCUAGCAAUAUUGAGCAUGCAUCUAACUCUUUCAAUAAUGGUUUGAUUCAUCCUUUUGGCUCCAUAUUGUGCUGUGGGGUUUGUGGAAUCGUCUUAUCAUAUUGGAUAUCAUGUUCGGUACAGUAUGCCUCAAACACUAUAGAAGUGUACUUGCCUCAAUUGUCCGUAUGGAGGCACAUUAGCUUCUUGCAUGUAUCUCUUUCCACAAUGGUAUGGAAUAUUCUGAAGUACUUGACUACAUAGUCCUUCAUCUUCAAAAAAUAUACCCACACUUUUUGUGAAGCAUCAUCAAUGAAGUUCACAAAAUUCCAAUUUUCGCCUAAUGAUUCCACUUCAAUAAGAUUGCAUACAUCAAAAUGUGUCAUAUUCAACAACUCUGAUUUUCUCCUAGUAGAGGAACAUAAUGAACCUUUAUGAUGCUUGUCAAAUAGGCAAAACUCGCAAAGGUUCAAUGCGAUGCCUUUGUCAACUUUAAAUAGCGCCUCCUUAACUAGCAUAAAUAGCCCUUUCUCCUAUAUGUGAUCGAGUCUUUUAGUGAUCCUUCAUCUUUAACUACAUUGAGGCUGUCACCAUAAUUUUUCACAUGGGUCUUAUACAGUAUGUCGCAAACAUGUCCUUUGUUCACAACCAUAGCCUCUUUUUUCAACUUUCAUUUGCCACUACCAAAGUGAAGUUCAUAGCCCCAUUUGUCAACAGUUGUCCCCAAAA
rnacentral:lncRNA from 1 species